rnacentral:rRNA from 1 species
CGGCCGCGUCGACAAGAGUUUGAUCCUGGCUCAGGAUGAACGCUAGCGACAGGCUUAACACAUGCAAGUCGAGGGGCAGCAUGAACUUAGCUUGCUAAGUUUGAUGGCGACCGGCGCACGGGUGAGUAACGCGUAUGCAACUUACCUAUCAGAGGAGAAUAGCUCAUCGAAAGAUGAAUUAAUGCUCCAUAAAACAGGGGUCCCGCAUGGGAAUAUUUGUUAAAGAUUCAUCGCUGAUUAGAUAGGCAUGCGUUCCAUUAGGCAGUUGGCGGGUAACGGCCCACCAAACCGACGAUGGAUAGGGGUUCUGAGAGGAAGGUCCCCCACAUUGGUACUGAGACACGGACCAAACUCCGUACGGAGGCAGCAGUGAGGAUAUUGGUCAAUGGCCGAGAGGCUGAACCAGCCAAGUCGCGUGAAGGAUGAAGGAUCUAUGGUUUGUAAACUUCUUUAUACGGGAAUAAAGUGAGUCACGUGUGGCUUUUGAUGUACGUAUGAAUAAGCAUCGGCUAACUCCG